UGGCGAGAUCACACGGUGCUGAUACGUUU
rnacentral:piRNA from 1 species